rnacentral:rRNA from 1 species
AUUGAACGCUGGCGGCAUGCUUUACACAUGCAAGUCGAACGGUAACAGGCCUUCGGGUGCUGACGAGUGGCGAACGGGUGAGUAAUGCAUCGGAACGUGCCCAGAGGUGGGGGAUAACGCAGCGAAAGCUGUGCUAAUACCGCAUGUGAUCUGAGGAUGAAAGCGGGGGACCAGGCAGCAAUGUUUGGCCUCGCGCCUUUGGAGCGGCCGAUGUCAGAUUAGGUAGUUGGUGGGGUAAAGGCCUACCAAGCCGACGAUCUGUAGCUGGUCUGAGAGGACGACCAGCCACACUGGGACUGAGACACGGCCCAGACUCCUACGGGAGGCAGCAGUGGGGAAUUCUGGACAAUGGGCGCAAGCCUGAUCCAGCAAUGCCGCGUGCGGGAAGAAGGCCUUCGGGUUGUAAACCGCUUUUGUACGGAACGAAAAGGCUCUGGCUAAUACCUGGGGCUGAUGACGGUACCGUAAGAAUAAGCACCGGCUAACUACGUG